rnacentral:tRNA from 2 species
CGGACAGUGGCGCAGCUGGUAGACGCCCGCGCCUUAAAAGCGACGAGUCCCGUGAGGGAAUGAGAGUUCGAGUCUCUCCUGUCCGACCA